rnacentral:lncRNA from 1 species
GUGAUUUACCAAUAAUAGUUUCUCAGAAGACCAAAUGACCGCAAAAGGUGGAAAAAGACAACUCAUUCCUAUAGCCUAUAGGUCUUUUAGAUUGAUACAAGCUGAAUCUCGAGAUAUAUACUCUACGAGAGAAAGGAAUGCGAAGCACACGGUCAUACUUUCACUGAACUAGACCAAACUUGAAUAGGAAUUUCUUCUGAUUACAGUCCAGCAUUUCACUCAGUGUACAGCUUAUGUUCUUCUGC